CCUACGGGAGGCAGCAGUGGGGAAUUUUGCGCAAUGCUCGUAAGAGUGACGCAGCGACGCCGCGUGAAUGACGAAGGCCCUCGGGUCGUAAAGCUCUUUCGACAGGGAAGUAAAUGCCUAUAAGUAACCGUGUAUGUAUUGACGGUACCUGUAUAAGCAGCCCCGGCUAACUCCGUGCCAGCAGCCGCGGUAAUACGGAGGGGGCGGGCGUUGUUCGGAGUGACUGGGCGUAAAGAGAACGUAGGCGGUGGUGUAAGUCAUUAGUCAAAGACUAGAGCUCAACUUUAGUAAGGCUGGUGAUACUAGAAGACUAGAGUAUCAGAGAGGAUUGCAGAAUUCCUGGUGUAGCGGUGAAAUGCGUAGAUAUCAGGAAGAAUACCGUUAGCGAAGGCGGCAAUCUGGCUGGAAACUGACGCUGAGGUGCGAAAGCGUGGGUAGCAAACAGGAUUAGAUACCCCUGUAGUC
rnacentral:rRNA from 1 species